rnacentral:lncRNA from 1 species
CUAUUUACCAACUGCCACCAUUGAGAUAGGGUACACCCAAGAACCCAAGAAAUAUCAGUGUGCCCCUUCCCCUCAGAAGGCUAAGCUCUUAGUCUGGCCCCUUCAGUCAUCUUCAAGAAAGCAACCCCAAUGGAGAAGGGACCUAUCACCCAUAUGAACUCUAUACCCUGGACAGGGAAACUAGCCCAGCUGAAGCAACAUAACCUCCUAAGGGAGAGAUAGGAGGUGGUAUAUGCCAACUUCAGAUGGCUAUUGGAGAAGUGAAGUGUGACAGCAGGAGUCUGUGUGUCUGCAAUUUUCAAGGCGCCUCAGUGCGGCUCCUGAAUGAGACGUGGAAAAUGAAAACCGUGCGCAGUGUCGCAGGAACAAUGGAGGAAAACUGAGGAAGACAACCCCCUUCUCCUCACCAAAACACCUAAAACUGGGCUUUCCAGGUUUUGAAAAGCAAUGUGAUACAGAGCUGUACACAUGUCAGCAGCGGUAAGCUGCUUAGCUUUAAGAAAAAUAGGUCCUAAAAAUCAAAGGCAAAAGUAAAUCCAUCCUCUUAUCAUCUCAACUGUCCUGAAGCACUUAUGCUUUAACUCUGGGAAGGUUUUUGGAUAUUGAAGUCGCCAUCAAAGGACUCUGGAUAAGUGUUCCUGCAGUGAUCAAAGCCAGGGAUACCCCGUUCUCACCCAGUCCAGGGGGAAACCUGUACUUAUUAAAA